AGAUGUGCUAGUGACUCCAUGAUCACAAGGGUGAUUUCUUUAGGGAGAGGCUUUUCCAUUGCACUCUAGAAGAGCUGACCCCUGAGCUUUCCCCAGAUGUUGGAAACUCAACUGCAUAAUUUGUGGGGUAGAUACACAGAUACAUAGCUGGUAUCUG